GAUGAACGCUGGCGGCGUGCCUAAUACAUGCAAGUCGAGCGAACGGACGAGAAGCUUGCUUCUCUGAUGUUAGCGGCGGAAGGGUGAGUAACACGUGGAUAACCUACCUAUAAGACUGGGAUAACUUCGGGAAACCGGAGCUAAUACCGGAUGAUAUUUUGAACCGCAUGGUUCAAAAGUGAAAGACGGUCUUGCUGUCACUUAUAGAUGGAUCCGCGCUGCAUUAGCUAGUUGGUAAGGUAACGGGUUACCAAGGCAACGGUGCCUAGCCGACCUGAGCGGAUGACGACCCCCACUGGAACUGUGACACGGUCCGGACUCCUAGCGGAGGAUGCUGUAGUGAAUCUUCCGCAAUGACGGGAUGCCUGCCGGAGCCACGCCGAUUGAGUGAUGAAGGUCUUCGGAUCGUAAACCUCUGUUAUUAGGGACGAACAUAUGUGUAAGUAACUGUGCACAUCUUGACGGUACCUAAUCAGAAAGCCACGGCUAACUACGUG
rnacentral:rRNA from 1 species